GAAUUCUUGUACUUUUCGUAAAAUUUUUUAUUCAAAGCAGAGCUUCUGGCCUUUCUAUUGCAGGAAGACGGACAUGCAUACGCGUCCAGUCGUUGAUGUGUGGCAAGGACACGAGCGUGGAUUUUGUCGGUUGGCGGUUUUGCUUUCCUUGGCCAGAAAAAUUGUUUGGUUGGAUGAGUUAAGCUAACGGCUACACAGGCGGCAAUUAAAGACAGGAAAUGAAAGUUUUGCUUCAAUGAUUGCAACGCUGAUUUCUUUUGAUAUAAAAAGCUGAAGUUUUAAAGGCAAAUUCAGAAAAAAAAAAACAAAGUCACAAAACUCACUUAAUAUGCAGUGGGUUGUUGGCUGAGCGGGUUGUGUCGCGCGGUUCCGUCUGUCGUUGACUAGCGUUUGUGUUGUGUGCCCAGCCGAAAACGAGUGUCGUGAGUUGUUUAAACGGCUUUUCUGCGCUUACUCGGUAAUUUAAGUUGUGUGUUGUUUCAGCUGCUAAAACAAGAAGUUGAAUCCAGGGAAGGAACAUGGAACUUCCUUUCCACUGAAUAUACGAAGGCUCAAAGGCAUGAGGUGGCUGAAAUAUUAAAGAUGCGCCGAUUGGGAGUGGCAGCCAAAUUGAAUUCUUCCAGGCGGCCUUUAAUCGUAUAAGUCACACAAAAAGUGUACAAGGYAUUAGAAGAUCAUUGAAGUUUCUAGAGCCGACUAUCGUGCUGAACUUCACUUCAAAUCUAAUAAAUUUGAGUGUAGUAUAUACAUAAUGCAUAAUAAAUUGUAAAAAAUAUUACUAUUUGAUUACCAUAUGAAUGUUUGUAAUUAUAGGUCAGUCCAUCGGCCUUGAGCUCUCCAACAUCAUUGUUGGAGUCGGAAAUUAUAUCUGAGGAUAUACCAUUAAUGCCAACCACAUCACAUGGUAAUUUAUUAAGACGUCGACUACAAAAAGACGAUGAUGAGUAUACUAAAGCAGUUGAAUGUGCACUAGAGACCUUCGCAUCAGCAACUAAAACAGAUGAUUGUCAUGAGUGAGGCAACUUUAUGUCGUCAAAUGGCUGAGAGUGGGCCCAAGAAUCUCCAUAAUUAACAAAGUAGUUCAAGCGGAAUAUAUGUAUGUGAAUUGAUAUUCAACUACUAAAAGAAAUUAACAAGCUCCACAUCAUGUCGUUCAAAUUCGCAAAGCUUUUUUUUCUAUACCUGUCAAAUGAAGUGGACUUUAUCAUUUUUUAUUUUUUUCAACGUGAGAAAGCAAAGUUUUAAAAURCUAUAUUCAUUGGUAAAUUUAAUAUGUAUGUAUGUAUAACAGUUUAAAUAUUGAAUAAA